UUUAAGUGUAAAUUUUUAAGUUAAAUGAUUAAUAGUUAUAUUCUUUAAAGUUAAAGAAUUUGGCGGUAUUUUAGUCUAUUUAGAGGAACCUGUUCUAUAAUUGAUAGUCCACGAUUUAUUUUACUUGUUUUAAUUAGUUUAUAUAUCGUCGUAGUUUGAAUAUUUUAGAAGAAUUAUAAUAUUCAAGAUUCUUUAUAAGGAAAGAAAUCAGAUCAAGGUGUAGCUUAUAAGCAAGGAGUAAUGGGUUACAAUAAAUUUAUUUAUAUGGUUUAGUUAUUUGAAAAAUUUCUAUUAAAGUGGAUUUAAAAGUAAUAAAUUUGAAUUAAAUUUUAUGAUUAUAGCUCUAAGAUAUGU
rnacentral:rRNA from 1 species